AGUUUGAUCCUGGCUCAGAACGAACGCUGGCGGCGUGGCUAAGACAUGCAAGUCGAACGGACUGAUCAAUUUAUUGAGCAGUUAGUGGCGAAAGGGUGAGUAAUGGAUAGGCAACGUGCCCUGUGCCCCGGAAUAGCGUCGUUCGCCUUCGGGCGAGCGUCCGAAAGGGGCGGUAAUUCCGGAUAAUAUCAUUUGUCGAUGGGCGAGUGAUCAAGGAUUUAUCGGCACGGGAGCGGCCUAUCUCUUAUCAGCUUGUUGGUAGGGUAACGGCCUACCAAGGCUGCGACGGGUAGCGGGACUGAGAGGUUGGCCCGCCACAUCGGGACUGAGACACUGCCCGGACCUCCACGGAGGGCUGCAGUAACGAAUCUUGCGCAAUGGGCGAAAGCCUGACGCAGCGACGCCGCGUGUGGGAAGAAGUCUUUCGGGAUGUAAACCGCUGUCAGGGGGAAGAAAGUCCGCUUCGGCGGAUUGAUCUAACCCAAAGGAAGUCACGGCUAACUUCGUGCCAGCAGCCGCGGUAAGACGAAGGUGGCAAGCGUUGUUCGGUGUCACUGGGCUUAAAGCGUGUGUAGGCGGAAAAGUAAGCGUUUUGUGAAAGCCCUCGGCUUAACCGAGGAAUCGCUUGACGAACUGUUUUUCUUGAGGCAAGCAGGGGUGCAUGGAACUCUUGGUGGAGCGGUGGAAUGCGUAGAUAUCAAGAGGAACGCCUGUGGUGAAAACGGUGCACUGGGCUUGUACUGACGCUGAGACACGAAAGCGUGGGGAGCGAACGGGAUUAGAUACCCCGGUAGUCCACGCCGUAAACGAUGUCUACUAGGUUGUGGUGGUUCUGACAUCAGCACGGCCGAAGCAAAAGUGUUAAGUAGACCGCCUGGGGAGUACGGUCGCAAGGCUAAAACUCAAAGGAAUUGACGGGGGCUCACACAAGCGGUGGAGCAUGUGGAUUAAUUCGAAGCAACGCGUGGAACCUUACCUGGGUUUGACAUGCAUGUAUGCUCGCCGGGAAACCGGUUUAGCUGCCCUUCGGGGUGAAACUUGCACAGGUGCUGCAUGGCUGUCGUCAGCUCGUGUCGUGAGAUGUCGGGUUAAGUCCUUUAACG
rnacentral:rRNA from 1 species